rnacentral:rRNA from 1 species
AUUGAACGCUGGCGGCAGGCUUAACACAUGCAAGUCGAGCGGGGAAGGGUAGCUCGCUACCUAACCUAGCGGCGGACGGGUGAGUAAUGCUUAGGAAUCUGCCAUUUAGUGGGGGACAACAUUCCGAAAGGAAUGCUAAUACCGCAUACGUCCUACGGGAGAAAGCAGGGGAUCUUCGGACCUUGCGCUAAAUGAUGAGCCUAAGUCGGAUUAGCUAGUUGGUGGGGUAAAGGCCUACCAAGGCGACGAUCUGUAGCGGGUCUGAGAGGAUGAUCCGCCACACUGGGACUGAAACACGGCCCAGACUCCUACGGGAGGCAGCAGUGGGGAAUAUUGGACAAUGGGCGGAAGCCUGAUCCAGCCAUGCCGCGUGUGUGAAGAAGGCCUUAUGGUUGUAAAGCACUUUAAGCGAGGAGGAGGCUACUUAGAUUAAUACUCUAGGAUAGUGGACGUUACUCGCAGAAUAAGCACCGGCUAACUCUGUGCCAGCCGCCGCGGUAA